GGUCAGCUAACAAUAACUGCGCAACAAAAACAUAACCAGGACACUGUAGGGACCUACUCCAGAAGACCUCAAGAUGAAGGAAACACAACCUUGUAUAGAGAGCAGGGAACCAAUGAACAGCGAGAAGCUGAAACAAUACCUUAUAUGGAACAUAAGAUUAACCAAUCAGAGGGCAGGUUUCAGAACAUAACCUUAUAAGGAAUAACUUCAUUUACAUACCUGUUCCCAUCAUUUUUUUUCUUCUCACCCACCUCUCACCAUAACCUGAGUGGAUGUUACCUGUCUUGGCCGCUCAUAGUGCUGUUAGUUGCAGUGUGGCUGGUUCACAGCCUGUUUUCUCCUGGACAGACCACCACGUUUGUCAGAACCAGUGGUGUUUUCAGCAGCAAGGAGACACCUUUUGAACCAUUCUCCAGUAAUGAAGAGGGGAUGAAAUAGCUCUGACAGGAUGCUGAAGGAGGGGAAUCCACUCGUCCUGGAAAGGAUACGCAGCUUCUGUUAUCUCCAAAGACUAGGUUUGAGUUUCUAGAGCUAUAUAAGUCCAGUGGCUGACAGUCCAUUUGCAGAUUGAUUGAUGUGUCAGGGGAGCUGUUCCAUAUCACUUGUAUAGAUAAGCGUUUGGUUUUAAAUGGGAUGGAUUCUUUUAUACUUCCUCUGACCUUUAUACUUGGAAUGUUGCCAGCAAACUCCCAGUGAAUGGCUGCCAGUCUGGUCUGUGACUUUGGUAUGGCAUCUAUGAAAUUAGUGGGACACAAAUGUGUAUUGGCAGAAAAUUUGAUCAUCAGGAGAUCACUUGUCACUUUCAAUGACCCUUACUGACACUCUGAUUCUUUUAAUUGUCCUACAUGGAAAAGAAAAAUAAAGUCUGGUAAGGUCAGCCCAAAAGGAAUACUGGUCUGGGACACUUAGUUUUGGAAAUUAGGUUCUUUCCCAGUUGUCAGAAGCAGCUGAUCCUUCCAGAUUAUCCCAGGGAUAUCUUAAAUCAGAUUAAGACAACAUUUACACUGACAGAAUGUGGGGGGCAAUGGGGAUCAGAACAUCUUUUGUGGAUCCCACUCUACAGGUGGAGAAUUCCAAAGAUUUGCUAGAGACUGCACUGCAUCAAAAGGAAUAAAGUGCCCAAAUGUCAAGAGGUCUCUGCUCAUCCCCACAAAGAACCAGAGGCUCAUUUCCCAAUUUGUCUGUCAAAUGGAGAAAUAUGUCUGUGCCCUGGACCCUCAAAAGAAUCACAAAUGGAAAUAUUUCCUAAAUACUGCUUUGAGCAGGGCCCAGAAAAACAAAUGCACUCAUGGUUAAUUCCCAACUCACUUGAAGCCACAUAUCUCCUUUUUCAGGGAAAAAGAGUUAAGAAAGUUUUAUUAAAACUCCCUCAGUUUGUUGGAAAUUCUGGCAUGGUAACUGUGUAUCUUACUUAAAAGGUCAAUGAGAAUCUCAUGAAUAAAACCUAACUUUAUAAUGAAAACACAGUAUUUAAAAUUUCCCUGGAUCUCCUUGCUCAAAACUGAUUAAGAACAGACCUGCUGCUAUCCUGUAAAAUGUUUCUAAGUGAGUCAUCCGUUCAUCAGCAAAGCCCCAAAAGUUCAGAUGCAAUUCCUUCAGAAAGAACAUUUUCAAAACUAUGGCAUAUCAGUUGGAAGACGCUGAUAACUUCCAAUCGGCAGGAGGGCUCUGCUAAAAAAAAAACUGAGAUAACUUUGCUUUUAAGGCUUCCCCAGCUGACUGAUUAAAAACGUCACAACAGAAAAUUCAAAGGUCACAUUUUCUCAAGUGUCGCUGAGAACCCACUGUCUGAGAAAUUAGACGAGAUUAAGAUGCAAAACACUGAAACAAUUUGAAUCAAAUUUAAUCUUCCCAUGUUUUGCUAACUUAUUUAAAAAGAAAAAAAAAAAACACUAACAAAACUAAACAAGAUGGGGGGAAUUUGUAUUUUAGAGAAACCCUACUGGAAGUACGACACUGCCAGUGUGGGGUUAAUAGACUUUGACUAGAUUUUGUUAUUUUGCUUGAGGAAUUGGUCUAAUUCAUAUCAGCUGAAAGCACUUUUUAAGAUUAAUUGAAAGCAAAAGGAUUUACUGGAGUUUAUAUUUUCAUGAAUCUCUUCUAGAUAUCUCUGAAGGACAAAAUUGAAGGUCACUUUUACUGUCUAUAAAAGCGAGUCAGAAAACUUGAAAAUGACGAAUUUUCUCCAGAUGGUAACUAAGAAAAGAUUGAGGAUUUUCAUCUACAUUUAGCAAAAUCUUUCUUUCACUAAUACAAAGCAAUUUGUUCAGCUGCUCCUGGGCAUAGCAGCUAAGAAUGGGACUGGUGGUUUUUUACAACAAGUAGUUGAUUUGAGGGACUGAGUGAAACUCCCAUGGGAAAAACCUUUUGAGACAACAUGUCUGAGAAGCUGUGCAUGGUCUCUUUUAUUAUUCUCCAUGCUCAUGCCAUUCUUGGGCACAACCAGAGGAGUUUGGUUUUCCUUUCUCAGGUGUUGGCUACAGACUGUGCAGGCACGUUGGGGAAAGGCAGAGAAAGGGACACAAGCAGGAGGGUACAAGAAGAAGGAAUUGGAGGCAGCAAAGAGAAAAGCAAUUCUCUACAAAGAAAAACUUUUGAAAAACCAUAAAGAGAUACAGAAAGGAAUGCACAGGACUUUCCAGGGGUCAGACACUGCAGAGUAUAACCCACUGUCUCACAACCAGCAGCAAACUUAGAGCAGUGAAGAGCUUUGGGGUUAUCCCCACACCUGGAUCAGGAAAAUAAUCUGAGGAGUCCAAAACUGUUGUCAUAAGAUGAGAAAGGCUUUUUUGGUAGACAAGAGGCUCUAGCAGAUUGGAAUAAGGGUAACAUGUCUUACUAAAAUGAGUGAUUUGCAGAGGAAUAAACAAAUGUGCAUUUGCUUCAUUUUUAAAAGUUUGAUUUUUCAUUAUCAAAAUGAAAGCAAGGAAGUAAACAAACAAACAAACCCCCGCCAAAAUCCCAUCUGGCUUCUCUGCCUUCCUUGAAGUUCUGAGAUAUAUACUUGCUGAAUCAGAAUGUAGAUAUAGGGCCUUCUUUUUAAACAGCAUCACAGUCACCUGUUACUGUUUAAAUACAGCAGGAGCCGGGUCCCCUUUUUUGAAAAGUGCUAUCUCCAGCCUGCAGCUCACAUUCCACAGCAGGAAAGCAGCUUGUGAAAAAAUUUGCUCUGAAAUACCUCAGGCUCUACUGAAAGCAAGCAGUUUCAAAGACUGUUUGCUUCUAUGAUUUUUGGGUUUGGUUUUGGGUUUAGCCUGUGUUUUUAUUCUCCCUUUUAGAAAAUCAAUUCAACCAGUUCAAGUUAAGCAGUUUGGGUGGAAGUGGACCAUAUAAAAGCUGAUGGCCAUUUUUUAAGGAGGUAUGAACACUUGUUUCUCCUCCUGCAGAGGUGCCAGAAGAAUGGGAGAUGGGGACCUCAGUAGGACAGAAAGGCACCAAACAUCAGAGCCCGGGAGAGCAGUGUGACUGCCCUCAAUGAGACAGGGCUGGGUAGGGACAAGGAAAAAACCUCACCAGGACCUUGCAGGGCAGGAGCUGUGGAGACAGCCACCUCCUCCUGGGCUGUUAGGACACCAAGGAUGGCUGUGAACAGGACUGAGACCCAGACACCUGAAUAUUUCUGG